rnacentral:rRNA from 1 species
UACGUAGGUGGCAAGCGUUGUCCGGAUUUACUGGGCGUAAAGGGCGCGUAGGCGGUUCGUUAAGUCCUGUGUGAAAUCCCCCGGCUCAACUGGGGAACUGCACAGGAAACUAGCGGGCUUGAGUCCGGGAGAGGGAAGCGGAAUUCCGGGUGUAGCGGUGAAAUGCGUAGAUAUCCGGAGGAACACCGGUGGCGAAGGCGGCUUCCUGGACCGACACUGACGCUGAGGCGCGAAAGCUAGGGGAGCAAACGGG